GACUAAAUGUUCUCUUCUUCUACUGCAGGUUGUCCGCCCCGCUGGAGGUGGCCACUAUCAAGCCACUUGGCCUGGACAAGCAGCAGUGCUCCCAGUAGGCGGUGGUGCAGGCCCGCCUGACCCAGCCUGCCCGCCUCACCAGCAUCAUCUUCACAGAGGACAUCAGUAAGGGCUGAGUGCCCUUACAGGCAUAAGCCACCUUGCUCAGCCUAUUUGUAAGGUUUUUGAUACAUGGGACUGUAUUGCUUUCCAACAAAACAAUGUUAACAAUGUACAAGUACCUGGAGAAGAGUCAGAAAAAUGUUGUAUCCUGCUGCUAUGCUUACAUUUCAGAAUUCCCCAGCCACAGGCCAGGUCCUGCGCUGUGAUGCCAUCGUGGACCUCAUCCAUGACAUCCAGAUUGUCUCCACCAUCCGCGAGCUCUACCUGGAGGACUCCCCCACAGAGCUGAAGAUCCAGGCCCUGGACUCCGAGGACUGGAGAGGACGAAGGCCCUGAGGUCCAAGAACAUUGACAGUGGACACCAAUGGCUUUGGG
rnacentral:lncRNA from 1 species